rnacentral:rRNA from 1 species
GACGAACGCUGGCGGCGUGCUUAACACAUGCAAGUCGAACGAUGAAGCCGGAGCUUGCUCUGGUGAAUUAGUGGCGAACGGGUGAGUAACACGUGAGUAACCUGCCCUUGACUCUGGGAUAACUGCUAGAAAUGGUAGCUAAUACCGGAUACGACCCUCGGCGGCAUCGCCAGGGGGUGGAAAGAAUUUCGGUCAAGGAUGGACUCGCGGCCUAUCAGCUAGUUGGUGAGGUAACGGCUCACCAAGGCGACGACGGGUAGCCGGCCUGAGAGGGUGACCGGCCACACUGGGACCGAGACACGGCCCAGACUCCGACGGGAGGCAGCAGUGGGGAAUAUUGCACAAUGGGCGCAAGCCUGAUGCAACAACGCCGCGUGAGGGAUGACGGCCUUCGGGUUGUAAACCUCUUUUAGUAGGGAAGAAGCGAAAGUGACGGUACCUGCAGAAAAAGCACCGGCUAACUACGUGCCAGCCGCCGCCGUAA